rnacentral:rRNA from 1 species
UCGCCUGUUUAUCAAAAACAUCGCUAAAAGUAGUUGAUUUUUAGUAGUACCUGCCCAGUGCGUAUUAUCUUGUUAACGGCCGCCUUAGCGUGAGGGUGCUAAGGUAGCGAAAUUCCUUGCCUUUUAAUUGUAGGCCAGCAUGAAUGGUUUGACGAGGGCCUCACUGUCUCUUAGUUCUAUGUUGAAAUUGUAGUGUAGGUGAAGAUACCUUCAUAAAAAAGUAAGACAAAAAGACCCCGUGCAACUUUGAAAAUUAAGCUAGAUUAAAUGGCAAAAGAUUUUUAGGUGGGGCGCCAAAAGAGGAAACUAUAACCUCUGCUGUUUAAGCUAAUUCUUACUGGAGUUGACCUGACUUAAGUCGAUCAAAGGAGAAGUUACGCCGGGGAUAACAGGCCAAUUCUUUAGUAAAGCUCGUAUUAACUAAAGGGCUUGGCACCUCGAUGUUGAAUCAGGGAUUAUAGCUUCAAGGCGUAGAUGCUUUGAUUAGUAGGUCUGUUCGACCUUUGAAACCCUACGUGAUCUGAGUUUCAGACCAGA